rnacentral:rRNA from 1 species
AACGAACGCUGGCGGCAUGCCUAACACAUGCAAGUCGAACGAGACCUUCGGGUCUAGUGGCGCACGGGUGCGUAACGCGUGGGAACCUGCCCUUAGGUUCGGAAUAACUCCCCGAAAGGGGUGCUAAUACCGGAUAAUGUCUUCGGACCAAAGAUUUAUCGCCUUUGGAUGGGCCCGCGUUGAAUUAGCUAGUUGGUAGGGUAAAAGCCUACCAAGGCGACGAUCCAUAGCUGGUCUGAGAGGAUGAUCAGCCACACUGGGACUGAGACACGGCCCAGACUCCUACGGGAGGCAGCAGUGGGGAAUAUUGGACAAUGGGCGAAAGCCUGAUCCAGCAAUGCCGCGUGAGUGAUGAAGGCCUUAGGGUUGUAAAGCUCUUUUACCCGGGAUGAUAAUGACAGUACCGGGAGAAUAAGCGCCGGCUAACUCCGUG